UCAAGGUAGAAGAUGUUGAUUACAAUGUUUAGUGGCUCUUGCAUGCAUACCUGUUUAGAUUUCAAAGAUCCAUAUUACUUUGUCUUCUCCUUUGUGUUUGCCUGCAGAUUCUAAUGUAGUCCAAUGCACGAGCACUAUUAUUAUUGUUCACAUCGUUCGGUCGUGCAAGUGAAAGGCAAUAAUGACGAUAUAUGAUGAAGUGAGCGAGCCUGGAAAAGCUGGUAUGAACUC
rnacentral:lncRNA from 1 species